UGAAUUGCUCUGAUUGGCCUCAAACUACC
rnacentral:piRNA from 1 species